rnacentral:rRNA from 1 species
GCGAUAAGUAGUGUGAAUUGCAGAAUUCAGUGAAUCAUCGAAUCUUUGAACGCACAUUGCGCCCCUUGGUAUUCCAUGGGGCAUGCCUGUUCGAGCGUCAUUUGUACCUUCAAGCUUUGCUUGGUGUUGGGUGUUUGUCUCGCCUCUGCGCGCAGACUCGCCUCAAAACAAUUGGCAGCCGGCGUAUUGAUUUCGGAGCGCAGUACAUCUCGCGCUUUGCACUCAUAACGACGACGAUCCAAAAGUACAUUUUUACACUCUUGACCUCGGAUCAGGUAGGGAUACCCGCUGAACUUAAGCAUAUCAAUAAGCGGAGGAAA